ACCUAGAUAUAUCAGUAUUUUGUUAGUUUGCAGAGCCAUUCUAGGAACUAGAGCGAGAUGCCAGUGGGGAGAGGGAAUCAAAGACAAAGGAAAUAAGGAAAGGUCGUUUUGCGCAGACCAUGUUCUCAAGACACAAAUAAUUUGGGACUCACAUGCAAUGUGUGUGUUGGUUUGGUCCACCAUGUACCAUUGUUUAGGCAAGAUUACUCAUUUGGAAAAGAUAAGGGGUAAACCAUGACUUGCCUGGGUAAAGUUCUCAUCUUGCAACUGGAGAAGUGGAAGUGCAGAUGGGAUAGGGGUAAGAGAAUAGGAAGUGCAGAAGAGAGAGGAAAUGGCGGCUGUGAUGACUUAUCCUGGGUUGCCUUUUAUAGGGCAGCUGGACAGUCAAAUCAAAAAGGGACAAGGAGAAGCAACGAAUGGUGACACCUAGAGCUGAAAUGUCUUCAGCCCAGAAGCAGACUUUUUUCUCAGCAUGUUUCCCUUCCAUCUAUUUCUUAGUAUUCUCUUAUUGUACUGACAUUGUUUUUUCUGUUAGGUUUGAUCUUUAGGGGUUUGUGAUUUUGUGUAUUUGCUGCCAUGUCGUAUCUUAGAAACCACACUGUAGUUGAAGUUGUUUGCAGUCUCAGGCUCUUAGCUAUUUGAAUAUUGAAGUUUAUCCUAUGGUAUGAUAUUUCCAUUAUCCUUUUGUCUUUUAGGAGGGCAAGGCCGCUUACUGUGUCUUUUUCAUAGGAUCCACAAGAGUUGGAGAUGUAAACAUUAAGCAAAAAUUACUUGAGUCCCUCCAAAAGCUAGUGUAAUUAAUGCUUUCGUACUUCUUGUUUAACAAAUGUGCACUUUACCUUCCAUGAUUCUCCCAGAACACAACAUUUUAGUCCUUGAUGUACUAUAAUAUAAAAUUUUUACUACAUUUUUGUCUUUAACUGAAAAAGUUAAAAGUGUUCAACUACAUUUUCCAAUUUAAAUGUUAGUUUUAUUAUAUUUAGUCCCUUGUUUUCUAUUUCAUUAAACACUUCAAGAACACUAAAAGUCUCAAAUUACUCACUAAUAUUUGGUCAAGGACUAAUAUGCAUAUUUUUCAUGCAUUAGAGAUUCAAGUGUUAGUUUACUAAAUGUCUUGGGGUUCUAGUAAUUUUUCUGUAGGCAGGGCAUUUUUCAACUUUAUUGGAGCUGGACAUCAUGUGUUGCUCUUAGAUUUGUUCAAUUCUCAGAAUGAUUAAAAAUUCAUGAAGUGCUGCCGUGGGGUGGGGAGAAACUGAGAGCAGUGACGUUUGUCUGCAUUCCUCAACCUUAGAGUGCACAAAAUAUUCAGACGUUCGUUAGUAUAAGCUGCAACUAACCAACUAAAAACUAAUGAGUUUUAACUUGGUGGUACUAUAGUCAUUUUAUGACCUAGUUGGAGCCUGAACAAAAAAAGACCAACAAAAUAAAACUAUAUAAUUUAAAAAAAAAAAAGAAACAUUUAGAUCCCAAGAUACUGCAUUAGCAAAUCAUGAGCACUGUGAUGGGCUGGGGAGAAUAUUGUAAUGGUAAUUGCACAUGUUUUGAAGGAAAGACGGGAUUGAAGGAAUAGAAUGGGGAGUCCAAAGAGAAAAGUUGGACAUUUAGAAGAAAGCCACAUAUAGGUGAUGAAAGGUGGAAAGAACUGCAGAAAUAUUUAUUUCUUCUUAAUUUCCACAUAAGGAACGUUGCAUGAUUUGGAAGAACUCCACAUUAAGCUUGCUUCACAGGAAGAUUCAAUGGCUGCUUCUGCACAUGCAAUUCCAUCAACAGCAGGUACUUCGAACUUGUAGAGUCCAUGCCUAUUUGUGGUUCUGUUUACUGAGAUUGAUACUUGUUCUAUGAUCUUUGGUGAACUUGCUUUGAACUUGCAGUCUAUUCUAACUCCUGCACCUGGUUGGACAUUUAUACACAUGAAAAAGUAUUAACUUCUAUUUCAUAUGGAAAUCUCCCUGAAAAUAUGUCUAAUAAAGCUUGGAAGUAGCUGUGGGUUGUUGGAUGUUAAUCACCUGGUAAGAAGUAGCUGUGUCUGGAGAAGCUAUUGUUGGAGCAGAUGUCACAAUAAACAAAACCCAUUACAGUGAUAUGGGCAUAGCUUUUGGUUGGGUCAACCUUUGAAGAUAAUGACUUGAUAAACAAAGAUGAAAGAAACAAGAGAAUAACUGGAUUCAUGGCAGCAAAAAUUUGGGAGAUUGGAGGGGGGAAAAUUCAGAUAGGCACCUCAAUGAACUGUUGGAUUUUAGUGAAUAGCAAUCAAAGCAUUAUGAUAUAGUUGUAGAAGAUGAGUUCUGUUUUGUGGAUAAGCAGCAGAGAGAGAGUUGCUGCUUGGUGGAGAUCCAACUGUAAACAAAAGCUACAGGAUAUUUAUCUUUUUCACUAGAAACAAAGACAUGUGAAUGUCAUUUGGCACAUAUGGAGUUAGUUGGGUAGGAAGAGUAUCUUCCUUUUUGAGGACUUUUCUGAUGUGGGGCUUCAAGUUUCCUUUUCCAGGAUAGCUCACAGAAAAAGAGAAGCUAUAGGGCAUUUAUAGACUCACAAAUAUGGAGGUUGAUACUCAAUCAAGGGAGAAAAUAAAGGAAAGUAGCUAAGGGAAGACUUGGACCUUUGUUUCUUGUGUUGUGAGUACUACUUGACUCAUAGCUAACCAUAGAAUGCAAAUUGAAGCCCAAAUCAUUACUUAGUGAGUAUGUUUAUAUGAUUUGUGAAGGUAAUCAAGUGUUGAAUUAUAUAUAUAUAUGUUCAUUGUUUGAAUUUAUUGCACAUGCAUUCAGUAGCAUGUGUUGGCGGUGUGAAGUAAAUUGUUGAGGAUAAAAAGGCUUUUGAAGAGGAUGAGACUGUUUUAGGAUAGGGAUUCAUGUUGCUCAUGUGAGCUUUUAAAUGGCCGGGACUUAAAUGCUUCACAAGAGUUGCCAUGAACAGAGAGCAUUUGCAGUCCAACUGAGGAGCAGAUUAUGUAGUUUUUGCACAAUUUUUGCAAUUUCAUAUCCUCACAAAACCAAACACAUUUGAAGGAGAGAUUGAUGUAGCUUAUCAACUUAUCUUUGCUCUUGAUUGGAAUUUUACACAAUUAUGUUUUAUUUA